rnacentral:lncRNA from 13 species
UCAUCGGAACAAUCUGCAGAGAGAGAUGGAGGGAAGGAGAAAGAGGCCGGGAGAAAACAGAGAAGGGGAGAGAUCAGAUAAGUUGGAAAAUAUGUUUAUGAAUUUUUAAAAAUGUUUUAUACUAGGCUGUGAGAACAAAUUAACUGUGUCCUUACUAUGAAGCCCAGGUCUGAGUUGAUUCCCAAUUUCACUGGAUAAUGGUCCUGGGUCAUCAAGGCAAUGCGCGUGAGUACCUUCCCAUGUAGCUGGAAGUCCUCCAUCCCUCCACUUUGACUGAAACGAGUUAUCCAUCUAUCUAUCCUCUCCUGUCCUCUCCAAACGGCACAUUACAUUGUUCCAACUUGGAAAAUUAUUUGAAGUGCAAUAUAGUCCACUUGUCCGUUUUUUUUGUUGCUAGCUACGUUAUGUAGACACGCCCAAACUAUGUAGACACGCCCAAAUUAUGUAGACACGCCCAAAUUAUGUAGACACACUCAAAUGUGAAGAGCUUAUCGUUACACACAGAACAUGUUUAGGCAUACACAAAAUAUGAAAUUGUUUAUUAACAGUGACUGGAGUCAGGGGUUGCCAUUCACUUCAAUGAUUUGAAUGGAGGAAAGGAAGCCAUGAAUACGCUGUUGCCUUUCCUGAGGAUUUGAUGCAGUUUAAGCAGAUUUUCUGAUAUUGCAUAAAAACCACCAGAAUCACUGAGAAAAAAACAUUACAUAACAAAAACGUUUUUAUAUAAUUACAUUUUUUAUUUGGCUUUUUAUAACAGUUAAAAAUGAUUUUGAUUAUCACAGUGUAAGCACUGCCCUGCCCACCCUGACUGCAGUGUGUGUGCAUGUGAGUGUGUGUGCAUGUCCCUUCAUCCCUCUCUUCUCUCCAGCUUUUAUUCCCCCUGUGUCUCAUUACUCUGGAUAUGACUGGGUGCCGUGACAGAGAGGUAGCACAAGAACACGCACGCACACACACCCACACACACAUGAAAAUGAACACACACAAGCUGGCAUGGUAUUGGUGUGCCCACUCAGAGCGGGUAAGAGGGGAGCCAGUGUUGGUGAGGAUUCUGAGAGUUCCGUGGGUGUCUCUGUGUUCCGCCUGGCCUGGGGCAGAGGGAGGGAGGGAGGGAGAGUGGUGUCUCUGUGUUCCGCCUGGCCUGGGACAGAGGGAGGGAGGGAGAGUGGUGUCUCUGUGUUCCGCCUGGCCUGGGGCAGAGGGAGGGAGGGAGAGUGGUGUCUCUGUGUUCCGCCUGGCCUGGGGCGGAGGGAGGGAGAGUAGUGUCUCUGUGUUCCGCCUGGCCUGGGGCAGAGGGAGUGAGGGAGAGUGGUGUCUCUGUGUUCCACCUGGCCUGGGGCAGAGGGAGGGAGGGAGAGUGGUGUCUCAGAUUGAUUUUUGUAUUGACUUUGUCAACGACUGCUCCUCUUUUGGUUUCCCCUGGUAAUCCCCUUAACCUUAACAGAUGCAUUCUGAAGACGCUUUAACGUCCUCUCAUACUUUUGUUCAGUAACAGAGAAAAGCAAUGAAUAAAUAAAAUGCAUAUACUGUACAUACAGCACCAUACAGCACAGUACCUUGCAUGCAUACGUACAGGUACUGUAACUGCCAAAAUAAAGGAAACACUUGAGUAAAUGAGGGAUACGAAGUAUAGUUAAAGCAGGUCCUUCCCCACAGAUGUGGUUCCUGAGUUAAUUAAGCAAUUAACAUCAUGCUUAGGGUCAUGUAUAAAAAUGCUGGGCAGGUCAUUAUUUUGUCUACCAUGCCUAUGCCCCCAUCCACAGUGCACGACUGUUGACUGAAUGUUAUUACCUUGUUCAGGGGCAGAACGACAGAUUUGUACCUUGUCAGCUCAGGGUGUCACAACUUCUGCCAAAGUUGGUUCCUCUCCUUGUUCUGGCGGCGUUCGGCGUUGCUGGUCUUCUACCUAUCAUUGAUCCAUUUUUCAUUUGUUUUGUCACACACCUGGUUUCAAAUCCAUCAUUACAUGUUGUGUAUUUAACCCUCUGUUCCCCCAUGUCCUUGUCCGGUAAUUGUUUAUUGUAAGUGCUUGUGCACGUUAUUUUCUGGUGUGCAACAGGUUUUGUACACAUUGUAUUGAUUGUUCUGUUUACGGUGAUUUUUAUUAUUAAACUGCGCCGUUGUAACAGUUUUUGCUCUCCUGCGCCUGACUUCUCUGCCGCCAGUACGCACCCCUUACACGGGGAUUCCAUCUAGCAACCUUUUGGUUACUGGCCCAACGCUCUAUUAAGACACUAUGUUGGGGUUGCUUUUAUUUUGUCAGUUUCCUGUACAUACAAUACAUACACACAGGUUUGCACAUGCAUGCACACUCACAGGACCCUGGUCAUCUGCCUUUGACUUUCCUCUAGAAAGUCCUCUAACACUCUGUGUCCCUCGCUAUCUUUGUCCUCUCUUCUUCUCUCGUCACUGACUUUCUUUCUUCUGACCCUCCCUCUUUUCCUCCUCUAUUCCUCUUCUGAAUGUCCUCCUCUUCUUCCUUCCUCUCUCUCUGUCUCUCCCUCCUCUUUACCCCUCCAUCUCUACAUCUCACCAUUUCCCCCUGCUGCUGUUCUGUUGACUGACAGCUUGCCCGCUGAGCAGCUCCUUCUCUCCCUCUUCCUUUCUUACCCUUUUUUCUUACUUUAUUCCCUUCUUCCCUCUUUCCAUCAGCCAGGUAUUAAUUAGAUGAUCUUGUACUCCCUCUCCCCUGGUCUAUGAUAGCCACGGGCUACCAGUUCCCCCUCCAGCCCAGCUGCUCGUUCUCACGCUCUUUCGCUCUCCCUUUCUUUCUCUCGCUCUCACCUUUCUUUCUCUCGCUCUCUCACUCCCUUUCUUUCUUUCUUUCUCUCCCUCUCUCUCACUCCAUUUCUUAAUCACU